rnacentral:rRNA from 1 species
UACGUAGGGAGCGAGCGUUGUCCGGAAUUACUGGGUGUAAAGGGAGCGUAGGCGGGCGAGAAAGUUGAAUGUUAAAUCUACCGGCUUAACUGGUAGCUGCGUUCAAAACUUCUUGUCUUGAGUGAAGUAAAGGCAGGCGGAAUUCCUAGUGUAGCGGUGAAAUGCGUAGAUAUUAGGAGGAACACCAGUGGCGAAGGCGGCCUGCUGGGCUUUAACUGACGCUGAGGCUCGAAAGCGUGGGGAGCAAACAGG